rnacentral:lncRNA from 1 species
UAGGGCACUGCUUACCAGCUCUCCUCCCCUGAACUUGGGCAGUUUUGCAGCUGGGAACGACACCAACUUCCCACCGCAAGUGACAAAUGCCGGGGCGAGCCGGCUCUGCCAGGGAAACUUCAAAAUGAGCCGAACAAACACCGGCAGCUUUCUUCAAUCUGUCUCCCUUGGCCUAUUUCACUCAAACACAGUCGGAAGAUCAGUGCAUGGACUGUGAUCAAGAACAUUUCUUGCAGCAAGAAAACUGUAAGAAAGCUGCAGCAAGAUCCCAGCAGAGCAUCCUCCGGAUACAGGAGUUUCACUGCGAUGUGCUGCUGAGAGCACUGAGCAUGGCUGUAUUCAACACUGAUGAAACACAUGAUCUGAAGAAAGCUAGAUUUCACACUGAAUCACGCUUCUCUGUAUCCUACCUUUUAGAAAAAUUAUCUUCAUAAUAUUUGAAUGUGUCAUGUAAAAUUUCAUGGUUGAUUUCUAUAAUGUUUUGAAAUAUUUAACUUUUUUUGCAGUAAAUACUGAUAUUAGAAAGCUCUUGUCUUAGCAAGUGACAUUAACAAAGAAUAGUCUCUCUAAAAAAAAAAUCCAGCUCAGCAAUGAGAAUUUUUAAGAAUAUUUAGAGCAGGGACAAAAUAGAUACUCUCUGAUGUCUCCCUCCYAUCAGGCUAAACCAGUGACUCUGAAACGGCUGUGUCAGCAGCUGCCCCAUCACAACUCGCUUGCGCUGGGAAAGCUGCAGACCUUGCCCCUUGGGUGCACAGAGGCACAGAUGGUGAUUGCUUUAAACAUCACCGAGGCAAGCGACCUUCUGUCCUCUGACACGCUGGAAACGAUUAAACACAGCACCAAGUGGACCAAGAUGAGAGGAUUUGGUCUUGGAUUUUGCUUCAGCUUUGACAGUGCUUGGAUUUUGCUUGAUUCCCUGGAUUUUCCUUCACAGUUGAGACGUACCUUUCAUUCCUGGAAACGCAGCAGCCUCUGAACCACUGUAACCCUGUGURAGUGUAAUGAAGCGGGUGACGGCUGCCAGCCAUGGGUGCUGUUUUCUGGCUUUGGCAGUACUUGGACCUCCUUGGCCUGGAAGCAGGGCCAUCUUCUCCUGUGGCCACCUGGCCUGCAGAAGUCAACGGGCAUUUUUACUUCUUUACACCUUGCAGGCCUGCAGCCAGGCUAUCUCCAGAGCCAAGCUGUUUCAGGAAAUCGCCGUCCCUCAUAUUUCUGAAGCGUUUCGCAGUGUGGUCCCUAAGGUGAGAUGUGUGGCUUCCCUGAACUUUGGCAGCAAUGGAUUUCAGCCAUCUCCUUUUGAACCUGGCUUCCC